CUUAUCUCAAAUAUAGUCACAUUGAGGCUAGGGCUUCAACAUAUGAAUUUUAAGGGAAAUAAACAUUCUGUCCUUAGGAUGCACUAUUCUGCAUGUAGAGCUCUGUCCCCUAGGAAGGCCUAGAAGCAAUGAAUAAUACCCCUGAUGCCCAGUCAUGGUCCUGAUAUGUUAUCACCAACUGAGAAGAACGAGAAGUCUUUGAAGGCAUAGCUGUUACCAGGAAGAAAAAUGUGACUUGGAUAAUUUUCAAAAUAAUCAAGGAGAAGAUACCUGGGAAAGUGUUAGGUGUAUGGAAGAAACAGGAUGAGCAUUUCUUGACCAAAAAGCAAGGCAGCUAUCUGAGAAGACUACACUGUGGCAAAAGAACUUAGAAGCCAACUUAAACCAGUCCUUGCUAGUCAAAGAUGAGACAUUUUGAACAUCAAUAAAGGUAAUGACCAAAGUAGCUUGAAAAAUAUUAAACUAUUUAAAUCCAUGAGUUCAUAAUGAUAUCUAUGAAGUCAAUCAUCACCUUUGGAAAAUAUUAAGCCUCACGAUUUUGAAAAUUCAUAAAUGGAAGAAAAUAACCAUUCAACCCUUAACAGCUAUACCUUAGGGCAAUCAAAGAGUUGAUGAAGACAGAUUUCUCUAUAUAGAAGUAUUUAUAGUAAGGAUUGAGGAAGGAAUGAUGGAAUAUUACCCUUCUGUAACGUCAAAUGAAUUAAUUCAUCUAGUGAUUAGUGAUUAGUGAUUUUCAAUAGCUACUACUAUCAUAACAACAGAGAAAACUGGAAAUUAGUUACCUCCUAUGGGAAGAACACAGCACUACCUGAAGGAGUCUGGAAAAAAACUCUAACUUGAAUAUGAUGACUACUCAUGUACAUGAGAUAUAGAGAAUGCAGGAUGUUAGCAUUAUGCAUAUGACCUCCACAACACAGCCUGCAACAAAUUCUACAGGAAAAAUGAUGGAUUCUAUAUCAACAAGAACAACAACAACAAAAAAAAAUGCAAGAAAAAAAAGAGAAAUGGAGAAGACACUUAAGGGGCAUGUUAAUCACAGUGCAUGGAUCUUGUUUGGAUCCUAGUUCAAUAAACAAAGAGUAGAAUUUGUGACAGUGUUUAUAAAACUAAAUGAAAGCCUUGGUUGUACACUAUGAAUAAGGAGAAAAGGAGGAUACUUGAUUGAAGUGGAUACCUCUAAAAUGAAGGUCACUCAUCAAAACUCCAUCAUCUGCAUACCACAAUCUUGCAGCAACAGCUAUUUUGGGGGAGCUUUAUCAAUCACAAACUCUUAGUGAACAUCCCUAUCUACUAAUUGUGUGCUGGAUUAUAAACAUAUGGAGAAGAAUGACAUACUCCCUGCAACCUUCCUGAGUGUAAAUUUUGAAUAACACCAUGGGACCUAUACGAAAUGCUACUAGUGAUUCUGGAGAUGCCCCCAAGAAGCAGAGGAAAAUCAUGACAUAACAAGAAAAAGUUGACUUGCUUGAUAUGUACCAAAGAUUGAGGUCUACAGCUGCAGCUGCCAUCAUUUCAAAAUAAUAAAUCCAGUGUAAGGACCAUUGUGGAAAAAGAAAGGGAAAUUUGUGAAGCCAUUGCUUUGGUUAAGCCAACUGGCAUGAAAAUCUGGGACUUUUUGUAAGUACCUUUUUAUCUCAUAUUGAAAAUGCAGCUUUGGGACACCUGGGUGGCUCAGUGGUUGAGCGUCUGCCUUUGGCCCAGGGUG